UUCAGCUACAUUGCAGCAUUACUGGUUUGUGUUGGGUUUAGCUUGUUAGCUUCAGUUAAAUUAGCUUAGUGGUCGUUAGGAGAAUACAGUAUGACAACCUGUGAAACGUGUGAUGCUGCAAUGCAGUUAGAAAAAUAGCGUUAAUAAAAAAAAGUACAUAGUGUUUGACCGUAAACACAUUUCACUCAGAAUAUAGUUGUUUUCUCGUAAAUGUAGGCUGCUAUACUGCACCACAAAGACAAAACACCAAGGCAGAUGACAGACAGACAGAAGGGGCUCCUCCACAGGACAUACAACUUUAACAGGAUUGGAAAUGGUACCCAGCAGCUGUAAGAGACCCGACAGAUACACGGUCCUGCCCGGUGGUUUCUUUGAUGCCUGUCGAUACCGCUGCGUGAUGAUGUCAUACGGCAGAGAGCAAGGGAGGGGAGGCAUGAUCAAAGGAAAGAGGGAGGGAUGAAGACGCAGGAGAGGAUAUCCAAGACAAACAACGGGACAAAGAUGGCGACCGCUUCUGCUAUGGGACGUCCACUGGCGUCCAGACCUCCGGAUCACCAGGAGGAACCCUGGAUGCGCGGCGAGUGCAUUCGCCUCCCUCAUUCUAACAGGAUGACCACCAGCAUGACAUACUGGAACCACCAAGCCAACCUCAGCCACCAGCACCACCACUACCGCCGGGCUAGCACGGUAAGCUCUCCGUCUACCUUAGCCUUUCCCUUCCGCUGCCGUUAAACCAUCAAACCCUCAACGCCCCGAUGUCUGGUUACCAUCACUCCAUCUCGAGUAUUCAUCAUGAGUUGCCAUUCUUCCUGAUAAGACAUUUUCUACCCAUUUUCUUUCUUUUUUCUCGGCCCUUUCAUCAUGGGGUCUUUUGCCUGUUAAUAUAGGCCUCUCUUUGCCAUCAAAGGCAGCACAUCAAUUGCCUUGACUCCCAAGUGUAUGUGAGGGUGAAAGAGAGAAAGGGAGAGAGGAGAAAAAAAGACGAACACCAUGUAUCAAAGAUCAAGGCACGCUUUCAUGCCUGAUUUUGGCCCUGGUUGGGUUUUUGCUUUCCAUCAUCUUUCCAUCCUCCUCUUUCUCCCCGUUCCAGGGGCUUCAGACGCUCUCCGAAGCCAUCAACGUUUUCCCCCUCCGACCCUCUGCGGUCCAAAUUUGCUGAAAAAGUGAAAUCGGACGCUUUUUCUUUUUUUUUUUUUUUUGUCGGGGAAAUGGAAGCAAAGACAUUUUUUUCCGUCUUUUUUCUUUGAGAAUAUUCUGUAGCUCGCAGGCUACCGGGGCCCGAGCUCUGCCCCAAUGAUGACAAUACGUGAAACAAUAUUUGAAUAAGCAGCAGGAGGGCAGCCAGCUAAUCCACUGUGGCUAAUCCAGUAUUGGUGCAGGCCAUAUUGGUAGCUGGAGUAUUCAGCCCCAUCACAAUACACAUCAGCAGGACGCCAUGGCAGAUAUACUGACACUCUUACUACAGGCAUGGCUGGGAAAGGCCAGCAGAUGGAUGGAU